AUUGAACGCUGGCGGCAGGCCUAACACAUGCAAGUCGAACGAGUGGCGGACGGGUGAGUAAUGUCUGGGAAACUGCCUGAUGGAGGGGGAUAACUACUGGAAACGGUAGCUAAUACCGCAUACCAUCAGAUGUGCCCAGAUGGGGUUAGCUAGUUGGUGGGGUAACGGCUCACCAAGGCGACGAUCCCUAGCUGGUCUGAGAGGAUGAACAGCCCAACUGGAACUGAGACACGGUCCAGACUCCUACGGGAGGGAGCAGGGGGGAAUAUUGGACAAUGGGCGCAAGCCUGAUGCAGCCAUGCCGCGUUUAUGAAGAAGGCCUUCGGGUUGUAAAGUACGUUAAGCGGGGAGGCGUUACCCGCAGAAGAAGCACCGGCUAACUCCGUGCCAGCAGCCGCGGUAAUUC
rnacentral:rRNA from 1 species